GGAGAGCCGGCCCACGUGCCGCCCACCGGCGCCUUGACGGCAGGGAGAGGUCGAGCUUCCAGGGAGCGGGCGCCCGGCGCGGGGCUCCCAGCCUGUCUGUACCUGGUCGAGACACCCCGUGCCAGAGGCGGAACAUGUAUGAAAUGCCAGGUCUGUUGAGAUUGUCUAUUUUUUCUUGAGUCAGCCGUCUGAAAAGAACACGAGGUGGACAGGGCAGAGCGGUCAAGGAAAGCCAUAGGAGGAGGGCACUUAUUUGAGCAAAGACCGGCGGGACGUGGGCGUCGAGGGUAAGGAUAUCUGCAGAAGUACUGUCUUGAGCAAGGAGCACGGCAGACAGAGCCUCUGAGACACGAGAGCCUGGAGUGUAAGAAACACAGUAGAGGCCACUAAGUCGAGAACGCAGGAGCUGGAAGGACUGGUAGGAAAUGGGAGGUGGGGACAUGGAGGGAUGCAGACAGGUCCUGCACAGUCAGAACUGUGGCCCCUUCUCUGCAGGAAAUGGGCAGCCUUCGGAAGACUGAGCACACGGAAGGAUAUGACUAACCCUUUAAAAGGGUCAUUCUGACUCCUGGGUGAAGAACAGACUAGGAAGGGCUGAGGAGGAGGCAGGAGGCCAUCUACUGUUAUAUGGGAUGUGGAGUGUGACCCGGAAAGGUCAAGUGUGACUCUAAGGGCUUUUUGUGUACUGAUCUUUUAUCCUGCAACCUUGCUAAACCCAUUUAUUAGUUCUUC
rnacentral:lncRNA from 10 species